CCUACGGGUGGCAGCAGUGGGGAAUAUUGGGCAAUGGGCGCAAGCCUGACCCAGCAACGCCGCGUGAAGGAAGAAGGCUUUCGGGUUGUAAACUUCUUUUCGCAGGGACGAAGCAAGUGACGGUACCUGAGGAAUAAGCCAUGGCUAACUACGUGCCAGCAGCCGCGGUAAUACGUAGGUGGCAAGCGUUAUCCGGAUUUACUGGGUGUAAAGGGCGUGUAGGCGGGGACGUAAGUCAGAUGUGAAAACCAUGGGGUCAAACUGUGGCCUGCAUUUGAAACUGUGUUUCUUGAGUACUGGAGAGGCAGGCGGAAUUCCUAGUGUAGCGGUGAAAUGCGUAGAUAUUAGGAGGAACACCAGUGGCGAAGGCAGUCUGCUGGACAGCAACUGACGCUGAGGCGCGAAAGCGCGGGGAGCAAACAGGAUUAGAUACCCUUGUAGUC
rnacentral:rRNA from 1 species